GAUGAACGCUGGCGGCGUGCCUAAUACAUGCAAGUCGAGCGAACAGACGAGGAGCUUGCUCCUCUGACGUUAGCGGCGGACGGGUGAGUAACACGUGGAUAACCUACCUAUAAGACUGGGAUAACUUCGGGAAACCGGAGCUAAUACCGGAUAAUAUAUUGAACCGCAUGGUUCAAUAGUGAAAGACGGUUUUGCUGUCACUUAUAGAUGGAUCCGCGCCGCAUUAGCUAGUUGGUAAGGUAACGGCUUACCAAGGCGACGAUGCGUAGCCGACCUGAGAGGGUGAUCGGCCACACUGGAACUGAGACACGGUCCAGACUCCUACGGGAGGCAGCAGUAGGGAAUCUUCCGCAAUGGGCGAAAGCCUGACGGAGCAACGCCGCGUGAGUGAUGAAGGUCUUCGGAUCGUAAAACUCUGUUAUUAGGGAAGAACAAAUGUGUAAGUAACUAUGCACGUCUUGACGGUACCUAAUCAGAAAGCCACGGCUACUACGUG
rnacentral:rRNA from 1 species